GCGCGGGUGGUGUAAUGGUAGCCACGCCAGCUUGAGGGGCUGGUGGCCGUAAGGCCGUGGAGGUUCAAGUCCUCUCCCGCGCACCA
rnacentral:tRNA from 1 species